rnacentral:rRNA from 1 species
ACGGAAGGCAGCAGUGGGGAAUAUUGGGCAAUGGGCGCAAGCCUGACCCAGCAACGCCGCGUGAAGGAAGAAGGCUUUCGGGUUGUAAACUUCUUUUCUGUGGGACGAAAGGAAUGACGGUACUACAGGAAUAAGCCACGGCUAACUACGUGCCAGCAGCCGCGGUAAUACGUAGGUGGCAAGCGUUAUCCGGAUUUACUGGGUGUAAAGGGCGUGUAGGCGGGAAGGCAAGUCAGAUGUGAAAACUAUGGGCUCAACCCAUAGCCUGCAUUUGAAACUGUUUUUCUUGAGUAUCGGAGAGGCAGGCGGAAUUCCGUAUGUAGCGGUGAAAUGCGUAGAUAUACGGAGGAACACCAGUGGCGAAGGCGGCCUGCUGGACGACAACUGACGCUGAGGCGCGAAAGCGUGGGGAGCAAACAGGAUUAGAUACCCUGGUA